CACUUCUAAGGAAGGCAGCAGGCGCGCAAAUUACCCAAUCCUGACUCAGGGAGGUAGUGACAAGAAAUAACAAUAAACCGGCUUAUGCCGGUUUAAUUGGAAUGAGUACAAUUUAAACAUCUUAACGAGGAACAAUUGGAGGGCAAGUCUGGUGCCAGCAGCCGCGGUAAUUCCAGCUCCAAUAGCGUAUACUAAAGUUGUUGCAGUUAAAAAGCUCGUAGUUGGAUUUCUGUGGGGACGGAGCGGCCGGCCGCAACACGCGGUUCGAGCUAGCGCUUUCCCUACAUCCUGCCGCGAACCGUGCUACCAUUAAUUUGGUGGCGCCGGGGAUCGGCUCGAUUACUUUGAGAAAAAUAGAGUGUUCAAAGCAGGCCACAUGCCUUGAAUAAGUUAGCAUGGAAUAAUAACUAAGGACUUCGGUUCUAUUUUGUUGGUGUUCGGGACUGAAGUAAUGAUUGAUAGGGACAGUUGGGGCGGUCUGUAUUCCAAAGCGAGAGGUGAAAUUCUUAGACCUUCGGAAGACAAACAGCUGCGAAAGCGUUCCGCAAGGAUGUUCCCUUUGAUCAAGAACGAAAGUUGGGGGAUCGAAGACGAUCAGAUACCGUCGUAGUCUCAACUAUAAACUAUACCAGCUAGGGAUCGGCCAACGUUAUUUAAACCGACUUGGUCGGCACCUUAUGAGAAAUCAAAGCAUCUGGGUUCCGGGGGGAGUAUGGUCGCAAGGCUGAAACUUAAAGGAAUUGACGGAAGGGCACCACCAGCCGUGGAGCCUGUGGCUUAAUUUGACUCAACACGGGAAAACUUACCAGGUCCAGACAUAGUAAGGAUUGACAGAUUGAUAGCUCUUUCUUGAUUCUGUGGGUGGUGGUGCAUGGCCGUUCUUAGUUGGUGGAGUGAUUUGUCUGGUUAAUUCCGUUAACGAACGAGACCCCAGCCUGCUAAAUAGCGCGCGUGAGCUUUGCUCGCGGCGAGCUUCUUAGAGGGACUAUGAUGCGCGAUAGCACAUGGAAGUUUGGGGCAAUAACAGGUCUGUGAUGCCCUUAGAUGUUCUGGGCCGCACACGGGCUACACUGGCGCCUGCAACGAGCAUAUCAGCUGGCCCGAGAGGGUCUUGGCUAAUCUUUUGAACCGGCGCCGUGCUUGGGAUUGACCUUUGCAAUUGUUGGUCAUGCAACGAGGAAUGCCUUGUAAACGCGAGUCAUCAGCUCGCAUUGAAUACGUCCCUGCCCUUUGUACACACCGCCCGUCGCUCCUACCGAUGAAUGUUCCGAUGAAAUUUUCGGAGAGCACCUGUGAACUUGGCUCUGCCUUGCGAACGGGAGGCUCAAAGUCACUUAAAUCUGAACAUUU
rnacentral:rRNA from 1 species